CGUAGGGUGCGAGCGUUAAUCGGAAUUACUGGGCGUAAAGCGUGCGCAGGCGGAUUGUUAAGCAAGAUGUGAAAUCCCCGGGCUUAACCUGGGAAUGGCAUUUUGAACUGGCAGUCUAGAGUGCGUCAGAGGGGGUGGAAUUCCACGUGUAGCAGUGAAAUGCGUAGAUAUGUGGAGGAACACCAAUGGCGAAGGCAGCCCCCUGGGAUGACACUGACGCUCAUGUACGAAAGCGUGGGUAGCAAACAGGAUU
rnacentral:rRNA from 1 species